rnacentral:rRNA from 1 species
UACGUAGGGGGGCAAGCGUUGUCCGGAAUCAUUGGGCGUAAAGAGCGCGUAGGCGGCCCGGUAAGUCCGCUGUGAAAGUCAAAGGCUCAACCUUUGAAUGUCAGCGGAUACUGCCGGGCUAGAGUCCGGAAGAGGCGAGUGGAACUCCUGGUGUAGCGGUGGAAUGCGCAGAUAUCAGGAAGAACGCCAACGGCGAAGGCAGCUCGCUGGGACGGAACUGACGCUGAGGCGCGAAAGCGUGGGGAGCGAACGGG